AUUGAACGCUGGCGGCAUGCUUUACACAUGCAAGUCGAACGGUAACAGGCCGCAAGGUGCUGACGAGUGGCGAACGGGUGAGUAAUGCAUCGGAACGUGCCCAGUCGUGGGGGAUAACGCAGCGAAAGCUGUGCUAAUACCGCAUACGAUCUAUGGAUGAAAGCGGGGGACCGUAAGGCCUCGCGCGAUUGGAGCGGCCGAUGUCAGAUUAGGUAGUUGGUGGGGUAAAGGCUCACCAAGCCAACGAUCUGUAGCUGGUCUGAGAGGACGACCAGCCACACGGGGACUGGGACACGGCCCAGACUCGUACGGGAGGCAGCAGUGGGGAAUGUUGGACAAUGGGCGCAAGCCUGAUCCAGCAAUGCGGCGUGCAGGAAGAAGGCGUUCGGGUUGUAAACUGCUUUUGUACGGAACGAAACGGUCUGGGUUAAUACCCUGGGCUAAUGACGGUACCGUAAGAAUAAGCACCGGCUAACUCCGUGCCAGCAGCCGCCGUAAAAC
rnacentral:rRNA from 1 species